rnacentral:rRNA from 1 species
UCCUAGCCUUAUUAUCAACUCUCCCUAAACUUACACAUGCAAGUCUCAGCACACCUGUGAGGACGCCCCUACCCCUAUAAGACUAAGGAGCUGGCAUCAGGCACUGCCCAUUACGCCUAGUCCCACCACGCCCCCAAGGGCCUUCAGCAGUGAUAAACUUUGUCUAUAAGCGACAGCUUGACCCAGUUACAGGGAACUAGGGCUGGCCAACUCGGUGCCAGCCGCCGCGGCUGAGCUCAAGUUGAUUAUUAUCGGUAAGCGUGCUUAAAGACUAUAAUAGUUAGAGCAAAAUUUAUGUUUAGCUGUGAUAAGACGAAAGUUGCCCUAAUCUUGAACUCACGACAGUUGGGAAACAAACUGGGAUUAGAUACCCCACUAUG